rnacentral:rRNA from 1 species
GCUUACGCCAUACCACCCUGAACACGCCCGAUCUCUCCGAUCUCGGAAGCUAAGCAGGGUCGGGCCUGGUUAGUACUUGGAUGGAGACCGCCUGGGAAUACCAGGUGCUGUAAGCU